rnacentral:rRNA from 1 species
CUACGGAGGGUGCAAGCGUUAUCCGGAAUCAUUGGGUUUAAAGGGUCCGUAGGCGGACUAUUAAGUCAGAGGUGAAAUCCCACAGCUCAACUGUGGAACUGCCUUUGAUACUGGUAGUCUUGAGUUAUAUGGAAGUAGAUAGAAUGUGUAGUGUAGCGGUGAAAUGCAUAGAUAUUGCACAGAAUACCGAUUGCGAAGGCAGUCUACUACGUAUAUACUGACGCUAAGGGACGAAAGCGUGGGGAGCGAACAGGAUUAGAAACCCUAGUAGUCC